AGAGUUUGAUCCUGGCUCAGGACGAACGCUGGCGGCGUGCCUAACACAUGCAAGUCGAGCGAUGAAACCCUUGGAUUAGCGGCGGACGGGUGAGUAACACGUGGGUAACCUGCCUCAAAGAGGGGGAUAGCCUCCCGAAAGGGAGAUUAAUACCGCAUAACAUUAGUUUUUCGCAUGGAGAACUAAUUAAAGGAGUAAUCCGCUUUGAGAUGGACCCGCGGCGCAUUAGCUAGUUGGUGAGGUAAAGGCUCACCAAGGCGACGAUGCGUAGCCGACCUGAGAGGGUGAUCGGCCACAUUGGAACUGAGACACGGUCCAGACUCCUACGGGAGGCAGCAGUGGGGAAUAUUGCACAAUGGGCGAAAGCCUGAUGCAGCAACGCCGCGUGAGUGAUGAAGGCCUUCGGGUUGUAAAGCUCUGUCUUUUGGGACGAUAAUGACGGUACCAAAGGAGGAAGCCACGGCUAACUACGUGCCAGCAGCCGCGGUAAUACGUAGGUGGCAAGCGUUGUCCGGAUUUACUGGGCGUAAAGGAUGCGUAGGCGGAUAUUUAAGUGAGAUGUGAAAUUCCCGGGCUUAACUUGGGAGCUGCAUUUCAAACUGGAUAUCUAGAGUGCGGGAGAGGAGAAUGGAAUUCCUAGUGUAGCGGUGAAAUGCGUAGAGAUUAGGAAGAACACCAGUGGCGAAGGCGAUUCUCUGGACCGUAACUGACGCUGAGGCAUGAAAGCGUGGGUAGCAAACAGGAUUAGAUACCCUGGUAGUCCACGCCGUAAACGAUGAGUACUAGU
rnacentral:rRNA from 1 species